UUAUGAAAAGGGACUUGAAUCAAGAGAUAUUUCAGGGCUAAUUGCAUCAAGGAGGUGAAUGGGUAUCAGUGGUGAGGAAGCAAAAUAACUCAAAGACAUCUCCAGGAUUUUUUAUUGAAGCACUGGCCACGUGAUAGCACUAUUUCCUGAGACUGUAACAGAAGGCUGAAAAUGAAUGUGUGUGUGUGUGUGUGUGUGUGUGUGUGUAGUGGGGAGAAGCAGAGAUGGAAAUGCUGACAAUUUUUGACAUAUAGAUUUUAUUGGUGCUCUCAGGACAUUCAAAUGGUGAUGUCUGCAAGACACACAUGGAACUCAAGAGAGAAAAUACCUGAGUGGAGAUAUAAAUUUGCUCAGCAGCAGCAAAUAAAUGGGUCACGCAAUAGGAGAAGGAAACCAGAUCCUACUAGUCUUCUCCCUUGUGAUUUCACCUUCUGGAUGAUGCCCAGCCAACCAACGUGGCCCUGGCAAUUGGAGUUCACUUUCCAAUAACGGACACGGAGGGAGAGACCAAGGAGCCAAGAAUUAACUGAGCUGAUGGGUUUCUGUGAUUAUGCCAGAAUCUCAACCAAUGGUAAAGCUACACAACCUGGGAGAAGUAAAAGUAAAACCUGGCUAUGGUAUAAAUACACUUGGAUGAAAGCUAUUCCGGAUGGAAAAUGACUGACCCUCCACUCAGCUACAAGCAUUUGACUUGGUUACACUUUAUUUCCUCUCCAAACUGGCACUUUAUUUUCAUCUUUCAAAUAAGGAGCAACCAUUUGAUUUUGUAAUGUAAAAACUAUUAUUGCCCUUAGGAAAAGGAUUACUGAACUUUCUGUACCUAGUGUUUAUGCCUUUAAUAAGCACAGUGUUUCCGAGAGAAUUGAAUGCCUUUCUGUACUAUGAUGUUUUUCUGCCACUACAUCUGAGUUUCGUACCUUCAUGUCUGGGAAACUUGUUUUUAUAAAUUCACAGAAACUUGACAAACAGGAGGAAUUUGUUCCCUGUCCUGUAGAGAUGGGCAAAUCCCUAAAGAGCUUGUUGAUUUCAUGCUAACCACUUUGCUGGGAGGCAGACACCUUUCUUUUCUAAGGAAAAGAUUUAUAGGGGGAAGUAAGGUUCAUGGGAAAUAUCGGACUCAGGUAACUGCGGCUGUAGCAAGCAACACCACAUCUUGGAGGUUCACUUACCAACAUGUGAAAACUCUCACAUGCUCUAAUCUCUGCUUGAGCUUUACAGUUUGCGUCUAGCAUUGUAUUUCUAGUCCAACCGUAGUAUCAUAAAGGACAAUGGUGUAAAAAGACCUCCUAAAUAUUAAAAGCCAAAGCAUGAGGAGGAAGAACUUAAGGGUGGAGAGAUGAGGCUAGAAAGAAAAAGUGAGAGUCAGAUGGCCCAGUGCAUUGUGUGCCAGCCUCUAGGGUUUACGCGUUAGUCUCAGGAAACUUCCGGAAGAUAAAGGGAAAGCAUGGGAGGCUUGUAAGCUAGGAAACGAGAUUUUCAGAUAUAUAUUUUAGAAAGGUCUCUUUUGGGGCCCUGUGGAGGUUUGAUUUCAAGGGUGAAUCCUGGAGCCAAUAGCAAAAAAGCAAACAAUCUGAUUGAAAAAUUCACAGAAGACCUGAAUAGACAUUUUUCCAAAGAAGAUAUACAAAACGUCCAACAGGUACAUGAAAAUAUACUCAACAUCAAUAAUCAUCUUAUAAAUGCAAAUCAAAACCACAGGUAAGCUAUCACCACACACCUGCUAGAAUGUCUAUUAUCAAAACACAGGACAUAAGUGUUGGUGAGCAUAAGGAGAAAAGGGAGCCCUUGUGUGCUGCUGGUGGGAAUGUAAAUUGGUGUGGCUACUAUGGAAAACAGUAUGAAGUUUCCUUAACACAUUAGAAAUAGAGCUCUCAUAUGACCUAGCAUAUAGGUAUAUAUCUGAAGGAAAUAAAAUCACUAUCCUGAAGAGAUAUUUGCACCCCCAUGUUAUUUACAAUAGCCUAGACGUGGAAACAACCUAAGUGUCCAUUGAUGGAUGAAUGGAUAAAGAAAAUGUGUGCAGCGGAAUGUUUUUUAGCCAUAAAAAAGGAAAUCCUGCCAUUUGGAAAUUCAUGACAUCGGAGAUGAACCGGGAAGGCAUUACGGUAAAUGAAAUAAACCAGACAUAGACAGAAAAAUACUGCAUGGUGUCACUUAUAUGUGGAAUCUAAGAAGAAAAACGUCGACGUCCUGGUAACACAAAUUAGAAUAGUGAUUGCAAAUGGCUGAGGCACAUGGGACAUGGGGGGACGUUGGUAAAGGGCACAGUCUUUCAGUUAUCAGAUGUAUAACUCCUGAGCAUCUAAUUACAGCAUGGAGACUGCAGUUAAUAAUAUUGUCUUGUACAUUUGAAAUUGGCUGAGAAAGUAGAUCUUCAGCAUUCUUGACACCCAAUGAAAGGUAACUACGUGAGGUGGUGGCUGUGUUAAUGAACUUGAUGGUGAUGAUCCUCUCACAGUGUGUAUGUAUAUCAAAUCGCCAUGUUGUAUACAUUAGAUAAAUACAAUAAAUACGAACAAAGCUGGAAAGAAACAAAACAUUAUCCUGUAAUAUUGAUUAGGAGCGUUCAGCUUGGUUGUGGAGACCCUGUUGACUCUGUAGGCCCCGGAGAGAGAUGCUCUUCCAUUCACCUUCAAAACACUGCUUUAUCAUCACUCAGAAUUGCUUUUCAGAUUUCCCCACUGAAAUACCAACUUUUAUUAAAACCAACUAAAGGAAAAUUCAGAGAGACAAAAUAUUGUAUAUUUGUUCUACUUCGGCUGUUUGAUUCUACAAAUGUCUACCGUGAUUUCUUUUAGUCCUGGUAAAUUUUCAAUGUUUGUAAUAGAGCUCAUCUC